UACGGAGGGGACUAGCGUUGUCCGGAAUUAUUGGGCGUAAAGCGCGCGCAGGCGGCCUUUUAAGUCUGAUGUGAAAGCCCCCGGCUCAACCGGGGAAGGUCAUUGGAAACUGAGAGGCUUGAGUACAGAAGAGGAAAGCGGAAUUCCACGUGUAGCGGUGAAAUGCGUAGAGAUGUGGAGGAACACCAGUGGCGAAGGCGGCUUUCUGGUCUGUAACUGACGCUGAGGCGCGAAAGCGUGGGGAGCAAACAGG
rnacentral:rRNA from 1 species